rnacentral:rRNA from 1 species
AACGAACGCUGGCGGCAGGCCUAACACAUGCAAGUCGAGCGCGCCCUUCGGGGUGAGCGGCGGACGGGUGAGUAACGCGUGGGAACGUGCCCUUUUCUACGGAAUAGCCUCGGGAAACUGAGAGUAAUACCGUAUACGCCCUUUGGGGGAAAGAUUUAUCGGAAAAGGAUCGGCCCGCGUUGGAUUAGGUAGUUGGGGGGGUAAUGGCCUACCAAGCCGACGAUCCAUAGCUGGUUUGAGAGGAUGAUCAGCCACACUGGGACUGAGACACGGCCCAGACUCCUACGGGAGGCAGCAGUGGGGAACCUUAGACAAUGGGGGCAACCCUGAUCGAGCCAUGCCGCGUGAGUGAUGAAGGCCUUAGGGUUGUAAAGCUCUUUCAGCUGGGAAGAUAAUGACGGUACCAGCAGAAGAAGCCCCGGCUAACUCCGUG